rnacentral:rRNA from 1 species
CGGUGUUUAACUGGCGUGAUGUGGGACGUCCUACCGGUGGGCUUAGCCUCGCGAGGGGCGGCCCAACUAAUAUCCCGUCGCGGUGCUCUUUACUGAGUGUCGAGUCGGGCCGGUACGUUUACUUUGAACAAAUUAGAGUGCUUAAAGCAGGCUAUCCUCGCCUGAAUACUGCGUGCAUGGAAUAAUGGAAUAGGACCUCGGUUCUAUUUUGUUGGUUUUCGGAACCCCGAGGUAAUGAUUAAUAGGGACAGAUGGGGGCAUUCGUAUUGCGACGUUAGAGGUGAAAUUCUUGGAUCGUCGCAAGACGGACAGAAGCGAAAGCAUUUGCCAAAAAUGUUUUCAUUAAUCAAGAACGAAAGUUAGAGGUUCGAAGGCGAUCAGAUACCGCCCUAGUUCUAACCAUAAACGAUGCCAGCUAGCGAUCCGCCGAAGUUCCUCCGAUGACUCGGCGGGCAGCUUCCGGGAAACCAAAGCUUUUGGGUUCCGGGGGAAGUAUGGUUGCAAAGCUGAAACUUAAAGGAAUUGACAGAAGGGCACCACCAGGAGUGGAGCCUGCGGCUUAAUUUGACUCAACACGGGAAACCUCACCAGGCCCAGACACCGGAAGGAUUGACAGAUUGAUAGCUCUUUCUUGAUUCGGUGGGUGGUGGUGCAUGGCCGUUCUUAGUUGGUGGAGCGAUUUGUCUGGUUAAUUCCGAUAACGAACGAGACUCUAGCCUGCUAAAUAGGCGUACCUUAUGGUAUCGCGAAGGCCCCCGGCUUCGGCCGGUGGGUUUUUACUACCAACGUACAAACAAAUCUUCUUAGAGGGCACAGGCGG